CUAACAGGUUAAAAGACAAAAGCUAAAUGAAGUUUUUAGUGGUUUAUCCACAUAAAGAUCUGAUAGGAUACUGAUAAUGACAAUAUCUUAUACAAGUCUUGACUAAAUCACGUGCCAGCAGUCGCGGCAAUACGGGAAAGACGAGUGUUAUUCAUCUUUAAUAGGUUUAAAGGGUACCUAGACAGUAUAUUUUGCUUUUAUAGGUACAUUUAUGCUAGAGUUUUAUGUGAGAGGAAUUUAGUACUAACGGAGUAGAGAUGAAAUUCUUUGAUACUGUUGGGCACUGAUAACGGCGAAGGCAGACCUCUAUGUAAAAACUGACGUUGAGGGACGAAGGCUUGGGUAGCAAACAGGAUUAGGUACCCUAAUAGUCCAGGCAGAAAAUGAUGAGUGUCAUAGAUUAGAGUAAUUUUGAUCUAUAAAUGAAAGUGUAAGCAUUCCACCUCAAGAGUAAUGUGGCAACGCAGGAACUGAAAUCAUUAGACCGUGUCUGAAACCAGUAGUGAAGUAUGUUAUUUAAUUCGAUGACCCGCGAAAAACCUUACCACGAAUUGCAUAUAGUAGUAAAAUAAAGUCUAUAUACUUUAUAAGGAAUCUUUUUAUAAAAAAGAGUACUAUUUAUACAAGUGCUGCAUGGCUGUCUUAAGUUAAUGUCGUGAGAUGCAGGUUAGCUCCAUUGAAUUAACGUAAACCCUCAUCACACUUAAGGUGUGGUGGUUCUCUGGCACAUCGGAAAGAUAAGUGGGAACAAGACAAGUACUCAUGGCCUAAACUUUCGUGGGCUAUAGACGUGCCACAUAUGCCUAGACAAAGUGAUGCUAAAAUGCGAAUAGCAAGCUAAUCACCAAAACAGGCUAUAAUAA
rnacentral:rRNA from 1 species